AUUGAACGCUGGCGGCAUGCGUAACACAUGCAAGUCGAACGGUGUUUGGUGCUUGCACCAGACAUAGUGGCGGACGGGUGAGUAAUGCGUAGGAAUCUGUCUUAGAGAGGGGGACAACCCGAGGAAACUUGGGCUAAAACCGCAUAUUCUCGAGAGAGGAAAGCAGGGGACCGGAGACGGCCUUGUGCUCUAAAGGUGAGCCUACGUCGGAUUAGCUAGUUGGUAGGGUAAAAGCCUACCAAGGCGAUGAUCUGUAGCUGGUCUGAGAGGACGGACAGCCACACUGGGACUGAGACACGGCCCAGACUCCUACGGGAGGCAGCAGUGGGGAAUAUUGGACAAUGGGGGGAACCCUGAUCCAGCGAUGCCGCGUGUGUGAAGAAGGCCUGCGGGUUGUAAAGCACUUUCAGUGGGAAAGAGAAGCGUCUUGUGAAUAAUGGGACGUGGAGACGUUACUCACAGAAGAAGCACCGGGCUAAACUCUGUGCCAGCAGCCGCGGUAA
rnacentral:rRNA from 1 species